rnacentral:rRNA from 1 species
UACGUAGGGUGCAAGCGUUAAUCGGAAUUACUGGGCGUAAAGCGUGCGUAGACGGUUAUCUAAGUCGGAUGUGAAAGCCCCGGGCUUAACCUGGGAAUGGCCAUGGAAACUGGCGAACUGGAGUGUGGCAGAGGGGGGUGGAAUUCCGCGUGUAGCAGUGAAAUGCGUAGAGAUGCGGAGGAACACCGAUGGCGAAGGCAGCCCCCUGGGCUAGCACUGACGCUCAGGCACGAAAGCGUGGGGAGCAAACAGG